UUAGUUGGUGGGUUGGCUUGUCAGGUUGAUUCCGGUAACGAACGAGACCUCAGCCUGCUAAAUAGUUGCCCCCGCUCCGGCGGGGGUCAGACUUCUUAGAGGGACUAUUAGCGAUUUUCAGCUAAUUGAAGUAUGAGGCAAUAACAGGUCUGUGAUGCCCUUAGAUGUUCUGGGCCGCACGCGCGCUACACUGACGCAAUCAACGAGCCUCCUGGUCACGAGAGGACCGGGUAAUCUUGUAAACUGCGUCGUGAUGGGGCUAGAGCUUUGUAAUUAUUGCUCUUUAACGAGGAAUGCCUAGUAAGCGCGAGUCAUCAGCUCGCGUUGAUUACGUCCCUGCCCUUUGUACACACCGCCCGUCGCUCCUUCCGAUUGGGUGUGCUGGGUGAAGAGUUCGGACUGGACCAUGGCUGGGAACAGCCCGGGUUCGG
rnacentral:rRNA from 1 species